AGUGAACGCUGGCGGUAGGCCUAACACAUGCAAGUCGAACGGCAGCACAGUAAGAGCUUGCUCUUACGGGUGGCGAGUGGCGGACGGGUGAGGAAUACAUCGGAAUCUACUUUUUCGUGGGGGAUAACGUAGGGAAACUUACGCUAAUACCGCAUACGACCUACGGGUGAAAGCAGGGGAUCUUCGGACCUUGCGCGAUUGAAUGAGCCGAUGUCGGAUUAGCUAGUUGGCGGGGUAAAGGCCCACCAAGGCGACGAUCCGUAGCUGGUCUGAGAGGAUGAUCAGCCACACUGGAACUGAGACACGGUCCAGACUCCUACGGGAGGCAGCAGUGGGGAAUAGUGGACAAUGGGCGCAAGCCUGAUCCAGCCAUACCGAGUGGGUGAAGAAGGCCUUCGGGUUGUAAAGCCCUUUUGUUGGGAAAGAAAAGCAGCAGGUUAAUACCCCGCUGUUCUGACGGUACCCAAAGAAUGAGCAUCGGCUAACUUCGUG
rnacentral:rRNA from 1 species